UUAAAAAUAAGCUAAAAUUAAGCUUUUGGGUUCAUACCUCAAAUAUAAAGAUAAUAACUUUUUUUUAAA
rnacentral:tRNA from 1 species